GACGUAGGGGGCCAGCGUUGUUCGGAAUUACUGGGUGUAAAGGGCGCGUAGGCGGGCUGACAAGUCUGGGGUGAAAUCCCGGAGCUCAACUUCGGAAUUGCCUUUGAUACUGUCUGUCUUGAGUCCGGGAGAGGUGAGUGGAAUUCCUAGUGUAGAGGUGAAAUUCGUAGAUAUUAGGAAGAACACCAGUGGCGAAGGCGGCUCACUGGCCCGGUACUGACGCUCAUGUGCGAAAGCGUGGGGAGCAAACAGG
rnacentral:rRNA from 1 species